AAUGACCCCACCAUGUCCUCUGCCUGCCUCUUGUUUAUGGAAAAACUUUAGCCUCCUAGGCCUUCCCCAAGUUCCAAAGAAUAAAUUUAAUAAGGGAAGUAAGAAAAUUCAGAAACAGAAAACAGACAAGCAAGACAAAAUAAUAACAAUUUAGCCAUCAAACAAAGUCAAGGACUUUUACUCCUCCUCAGGGGCUGAAGAUAAUCUUCUGAGCCAUUUCAUUUCAGCUGUUUUUCAGAUACUGAAACCCCUGCCAGAUGGAAGAAGCCAACUGUAUAUUGCCCACAAGCACAUAGGCCCCAGGUCAGAUAGAACCAUAAGGUUAAUGAUGUUGAUGCCCAAUUACCUCACCACUAACCCAUCAGAAGAGUGUUCAUGAGGUGAUCACAUACCCUACAACCCUCUUCCUCACCCUGUCUUUAAAAGCCAUCAGGGAGUUCAAUCCUUUAAACACUAGCUGUCCAGACUUCUUGCUUGGCAUCCUGCAAUAAGUACUGUACUUUCCUUCACCACAACCCAAUGUCAAUAGAUUGGCUUUGCUGCACACAUGGGCAGGCAGACCCAAAUUUGGUUUGGUAACAGUAUUUGUGGUUGAGGCCUUUGAAAAGUAAUUAGGUUUAGAGAAGGUCAUGAAGGGAUUCGUGCCCUUAGAAGAAGAGGAGAGUCCAGAAGUCUCUCUCCACCAUGUGAGGACACAGCAAGAAGGCAGGCUGUUUGCAACCCAGGCAGAGAGAUCUCACCAGAAACAGAAUUUCCAGACCUCUUGAUCUGGUAGUUCCCAGUCUACAGAACUUUGAGAAACAAAUGUCUACUGUUUAAGCCACCUGGUCUGUGUUUUGUUUGUUUUGUUUUUAUGGAAGCUCAGGCUGAUGAAGACAUCUAACAAUUCUUCAAAUAUACCUGGACCUAUCAUCUGGUAAUUCAACCCCUUUCUUCUUUUGCUCACCCAUGAUAUCCUCCUCUCUUCUUUCCUUAUGCAGCUUUGGUCCCGUAUUUGAUUAUCAUAGGUGCUUAUCUGCAUACACCUCCAUCUCCCUUGCUCAUUCCCUGCUCGUGUCACCAAUUUCCUUCCUCCCAUUCUCUCUUGAACCAUUCACAUUAUGUUCUUUCCUCCACUACUCCAGAGCUACUGUCCUUCUUGAGGUCCAUCAUCACUAUUUUGCUGAAAUUAACGGUCAUUUCUGGGUCCUUAUUUAUCAUGACCUAUCAGCAGAAUCUGACAGAAUUUAUCGUGAAUUAAUUUUUGUAACACUCUCUUACCUUGGCUUCCAAGACAUCGAAUUUUCUUUAUUGUCCUCAGACCUCUCUCAGUCCUUUACUGUAUUUUAUGAUCCCCAGUUUCAGAAGCAAGAGGGCAUCUCUAUUGGACCUCGCCUACACCCAGCCCUGAGUUUUUCUCAACCACCCUCAUCGCUUCAGAUAUCAUCUGUACACUAAUGUUUCUUUUUUUUUUUUUGUCUUUUUGCUACUUCUUGGGCUGCUCCCUCAGCAUAUGGAGGUUCCCAGGCUAGGGGUUGAAUCAGAGCUGUAGCCACCGGCCUACGCCAGAGCCACAGCAACGCGGGAUCCGAGCCACGUCUGCAACCUACACCACAGCCCAUGGCAACGCCAGAUCGUUAACCCACUGAGCAAGGGCAGGGACCAAACCCGCAACCUCAUGGUUCCUAGUCGGAUUCGUUAACCACUGCGCCACGACGGGAACUCCCACUAAUGUUUCUAACCUUAUAUCUCCAGCUCCAACAUCUUCCCUGAAACUGAAAUACGCAUCUCCAAUUACCUGCUUGAUACCUUUCCUAACAUAUUUUGUAUACUUUUCAAAUUAAACAUGCUGAAAACCAAGCUUUUAAUCUUUUUCCAAAAUCAAUGUCUCCUGCACACUUCCGCAUAUUAGUUAAUAGCAGCUUCUUUCUUCUACCUGAGACAAAACCAGGUAACUAUAUUUGUCAGGAUUUUUUUUCCUUUACACUCCCUGUCCAUUAUGUCCAGAACUCCUGUCUGUUCUACCCUCAGCAUAUACCCAUAGUUUGACCAUUUCUCUUAUCUCCCUACCCACAUAGUCCAAGCCACCAUGAUUUCUAGCCUGGUUCACCGUAGCAGUUUCCUACUUAAUCUCACUUCUCCCACCCUUUUCUAUCUAGAGUCUGUUUUCAGCAGUAUCGAGAGCACUUUUACCAAAGCUAAAGCAGGUCAGGGCCUCCAUUUUACUCUAAACCCUCAAAUGUCUUCAAGUAUCACUAGAGUAAACAAUACAAUUCUUAUCACCUUUAGGUUCUAUCUGACUCCCCAUCACCUCUCUCACUGAUUUUCCUACUCUUGCCUCUCACUCCUUAACUCUACUGUGAAGGGUUUCUUGGUGUUCUUCAGACAUACUUGAGAUGGUACCGUGUCAUCUCAAGGACUUUGUGUUUGCUCUUCCACCUGCCUGAAAGCCUCUUAUUCCAGAUAUCUGCCUUUAUGCCUCCCUCACUUCCUUUAUUCAAAGUCACCUCUCAAGGAUGUCUUUUCUGGCCAUAUUAUAUGAAUGUCAGUGCUGUCCCAUAUCUGUUUUAUGGGUCACCCCAGAUUAGGGCACUUGUCAUGUACCUUGAUUUCAGCUGGAACAACCCUAGCAAUGGUGAUGGUAUUCCCACGGUCAUAGGUCCCGGUCGCUGCCCUACCUGUAGACGGAGGAGUCUGCUGCAACAGUAACUCUCAUUCCCUCCCAUUGCUCGUGGCUACUACCCAUCAACGUCUUGCUUUCCCCCCUCCUUCAUACACCUCCCACUUCCUACCUUGCAAUUUCAAUGCAGCCACUAAAGACAGAGACAGCAUAGGAGCUAGUCAGUAUGCUGCAGGCACAACCUGAAGCUGUCAGCUCUCCUCCUUGCCCUUUCUCCUCCUUCAUGCUGCUUAGAGACAGAGUUGCUUCACAUAUGCCCUCAGGAAAUGUACUGGGAGAGCAAAGGACUGCUCACCCACAAACAGUGGCAGGUUCAGUAACAGACUUUCUUAUAUUUCCUCUCCUAGAAUGGUCCAUAUUAUUUUCCAAAAGCAUCAUACUCAGUGCAUUUCUUUCCCAGUUUAAAACUUGCCCAGCGUUCCUCUUUGCCUACAAUAAAAUACUAGGUUCUUAGGGUAAUGUUAACAUUUACUAACAAUCUUCAGUCUUGUCUCUUGCAUGCCCUAUUAUCACAGCCAAAAUAAACCAAUCACCAUUCCUAGAGCAUACAGAGAAGUUUCCUCACUGCAUGUCAUGGCUCAGAAUUCCACCUCCUCCAAGAGAAGACUUCCUUGCUCCUCCCAAAAUCAGUGACUCACAGUUCCCUGUGUGACAACUUAAAAUGUGCUACCUGAUAUUUUUGCAUUAAUUUCCAAAUUCUCUUUCUCUUACUCUUUUUUUUUUUUUUCUUUCUAGGGUAAUACCCACAGCAUAUGGAAGUUCCCAGGCUAGUAGGAGCUGCAGCUGCCAGCCUACAGCACAGCCACAGCAACGUGAGAUCAGAGCCACAUCUGUGAUUGACACCAAAGCUCAUGGCAAUACAGGAUCCUUAACCCACUGAGGAAGGCCAAGGAUCCAACCUGCAUCCUCACUGAUACUAGUAGGGUUCUUAACCUGCUGUGCCACAAUGGGAACUCCUAACUUCUCUCUUAAAUUCUAUGCUCCUUGAGGGCAAACACAAUAUCAUAUAUUUCUGUCUCCUUUGCAGCAACUAAUUAAAUGACAUGAACACAUUAUAUUUGCUCCAAAACCUGUUAACUUGACUCAGAUAGCAAAGUGUGCUCUCUGGCAAUACUCAAAGAGGCCAGUGUGUUCUAGGCAGUGUGAGGCCCAGGAAUGCCACAGAGAAGGAGAAAAGAGCAAGAGACCUGGCUCAGAUUGAUUGAAUCCUGAAUCUGCCAUUUAACACUUGUGCAGUUUGGGGCAAUUUUUUCAUUUUCUUUCUCUCCUACUACAGGUAGUGUGUAUAUACAUAGAUGCCACAUAGAUAUAUAGAUAAUUAUAUCUAUCACAUAGGAUGGUGUGGAGGCUUGUGUGUCUUUCAAAGUGCCUGCCCCAAGACCCCAAACCUCAUGUCCCAAUUCUGUACUCUAAACACCAAAGACCCAGGCCUCUCUGUGUCUGCCACCUCUGAGGAGCAGACUCAGGUUACAGAGUCACAAAGUCAGUGACACACAGAGGUUCUUUCUUUCCCCUGUUGGAUGUGGAAUGAGCCACACUGGCUGGUGAGGCUCUAGGCAAACAUGGCUUGAGCAUGAGAAGCCCUGCUUCUUCUUCUUUUUUUUUCUGUUUUUCUUUUUAAGGCCACACCUGCAGCAUAUGGAAGUUUCCAGGAUAGGAGUAGAAUCAGAGCUGCAUCUGAGGUCUAUGCCACAGACACAGCAACAUUGGAUUCGAGCUGCAUCUGCGACCUACACCACAGCUUGCAGCAAUGUCGGAUCCUUAACCUACUGAAUGAGACCAGGGAUCAAACUUGCAUCUUCACAGACACUGGGUUGGAUUCUUAACCCACUGAGCCACAAAGAGGACUCUGAGAAGAGAAGCCCUUCUUAUCUCUCCUCAUUCAGUUCUACACAGAAACAUAUGACCUGAGAGAUGAGGAACCAGGAAAAGAGAAUUCACUUUUUAAGCAAUCGAUUGAGCAGAGAGUAGAGAAAAAUAAUCCCUCAAAAAGAGAAGGGAGCCUUCACAAUGUUGUCCGUACGUAUUUCUCUCAAAAUGGCAAAACGUUCUUACAGAAUUAUGCAGAAUUUGGGGAGAGAAAAAAGAAAUGAAUAAUGCUAGUUCAGAGUAUGAAGUACGAUGAAAAAGGGAAGGAGUUAUUUCCUUGACUAUAAGAGGAAUAGCAUUAGACCUUCUCUUGCUUUCAAUAAUAAUGUUACCAUGCCAGUAUAAAUGCAUCUUGUCUUCAAGCUUGUGAUUUCAUGUCAUAGUAACAGAGGUUUAGGCAGUGUUUACAAUUAUACAAAAUUGCAUGGCUGAGAACGGAAAAGAGCUAAGCAGCCUUCACCAACAACACAGAAACAGCAUAUUAGAAAUCAAGGCAAUCCCUUGUGCAACAGAGUAUUUCAUACACACGCACACACGAACCCAGCCCACUGAUGACAUUAGCUAUUAAUGCCAUGGUAAAGAAUUGUGUCAUUGCGUUC
rnacentral:lncRNA from 1 species